CAUAGGUUAAUGAGGCGAACCGGGGGAACUGAAACAUCUAAGUACCCCGAGGAAAAGAAAUCAACCGAGAUUCCCCCAGUAGCGGCGAGCGAACGGGGAGGAGCCCAGAGCCUGAAUCAGUGUGUGUGUUAGUGGAAGCGUCUGGAAAGGCGCGCGAUACAGGGUGACAGCCCCGUACACAAAAAUGCACAUAUUGUGAGCUCGAUGAGUAGGGCGGGACACGUGGUAUCCUGUCUGAAUAUGGGGGGACCAUCCUCCAAGGCUAAAUACUCCUGACUGACCGAUAGUGAACCAGUACCGUGAGGGAAAGGCGAAAAGAACCCCGGCGAGGGGAGUGAAAAAGAACCUGAAACCGUGUACGUACAAGCAGUGGGAGCCUCUUAAUGGGGUGACUGCGUACCUUUUGUAUAAUGGGUCAGCGACUUAUAUUCUGUAGCAAGGUUAACCGAAUAGGGGAGCCGAAGGGAAACCGAGUCUUAACUGGGCGUUAAGUUGCAGGGUAUAGA
rnacentral:rRNA from 1 species